rnacentral:lncRNA from 1 species
AAAACGUUAGUCAUUGGAAACAUAGUAGAGGUUGCAGCUGUCAGGGACGUUUCUGAAGCCAGUGUCUUCGAGCCUAUGCGCUUCCUAAACCGCACGUGAAGCUACUGGGUUGGUCCAAAGGUAAUUGCAAUUACUGGGUGAGUUGUGCCAGUCACAGAAAUGUAAUCAGGAAUUCAGCUCCUGUAGCCUGAAAGGACAGAACACCCUCAUCCAGAUUUAAUCCUGCAGGUGCUGCCCCAGGACCUCCACCAAAGCCCCU